rnacentral:lncRNA from 1 species
CUCAGUUCAUUUAAUUCUAGGCUAAAGUUGCAGUCAGCGACUUUUCAACACAACAUUUGUCUACAUUCCUUCAAUUAAAGGUUGUUUACAUUCAUGAUCACUGACUUUUUAUGAAAUUGGAUGGUCAGUUGUAUAGAGCUACAGGUGCUUUAACUAAACAAAAACUCCCUCUCCCGUAGAUUUCCGCAGCACUUAUUAAUCUCACUUGGAUAAACAAAACAACCGAAAAUCAAACAUAAAAGUAAUCGGCAGAAUUAAGAAAAUAAAAAAUAAAAACAAAGCAAACCCUAGAAACUGAAUCAGCAGGAAGCUUACAAAAACAAACUUGAAUCCUUUUUGAAUUAGCAAUAUCAGAAAGAAAAACUUAAAAAGAAAACCCUAAAACUUGAAUCAAGUUGAAUUCGAAGAGAAAGAUAUACCUUUGAAUCGCGAGCAAGAAAAAAAUGGAGAGGCGGUUUGAAGGAGAUAUAAGAUGAAAGUGAAUUUGGUGAUUGCAAGGGGAGUUGAAAUUGGAUUAUUGGAAGGAGUUUCGAGGUGGAAAUCGAAAUCCCGAGGUUCGUACAAAGCCAUGGAGGUGGAAGCGCCCAGUGUUUUGAUCGGAAAUGGAAUUUGCCAUUGUUAAAAGACUAUUGUGCCCAUGUUUUAUAGAGUAAAAAAAUAAAAUAGGGGUAGUAGAGCAAGGGUGUUUAUGGAAGAAGAAAAAAGUGCUGAGCCGGCUUCAAACAACAGCUCAUGGUUUGGCGAGUGAGGAAUAUCAAAUAUGGUUUUGUUUGAAGUGGAUAAACCAGAUAACUACUAACGAGAUAUUCAGUUUUAAGACCCAAGCACUCUUUUUAUACUAUUAUGUAUAUAUAUAUAUAUAUAUAUAUAUAUUAUAUAU